UAAAACAGUUUUGAGAAGUGUGAUGUUUCAUUGGCUGAGGAUUAACCAGAAGGAAGGAAAGGAAGGAAAAGAAAGUGGAGAAGGAAAAUGAGAAGAAAGAGGAGGAGAGGAUGCUGGAAAGAAAGAGGAGGAGGAGAGCAGACAGAAGAGAAAUAUUAUGAUAUCUCGGGAGCUGCUCAUUAUACUUCUAGCCCCUGGCUAUACAAC
rnacentral:lncRNA from 1 species